rnacentral:rRNA from 1 species
GACGAACGCUGGCGGCGCGCCUAACACAUGCAAGUCGAACGAGCGAGAGAGAGCUUGCUUUCUCGAGCGAGUAGCGAACGGGUGAGUAACGCGUGAGGAGCCUGCCUCAAAGAGGGGGACAACAGUUGGAAACGACUGCUAAUACCGCAUAAGCCCACGACCCGGCAUCGGGUAGAGGGAAAAGGAGCAAUCCGCUUUGAGAUGGCCUCGCGUCCGAUUAGCUAGUUGGUGAGGUAACGGCCCACCAAGGCAACGAUCGGUAGCCGGACUGAGAGGUUGAACGGCCACAUUGGGACUGAGACACGGCCCAGACUCCUACGGGAGGCAGCAGUGGGGAAUAUUGCACAAUGGGGGAAACCCUGAUGCAGCGACGCCGCGUGGAGGAAGAAGGUCUUCGGAUUGUAAACUCCUGUUGUUGAGGAAGAUAAUGACGGUAC